UUAGAACAAAACCCUCACUCACUUUCUCUCUCCCCUCAAACCGUACUCUUCUUCCUUCCCCUCCUCUUCACUCGGCUCUCUCUCUCCUCCUCACUCCACUGCAACGCCGCACCACCACCGUACCGCGUCACUGCUCCUCUACCCCCCCCCCUUAUCUUCGCCGGUCACCGCUGAUGCGGUUGUUGUCGUUGGUUUGUGGGAUGACUCACGGCUGCUCUCCCCUCUCAUCUCCUUCCCUCUCUCGUCCAAGGUGGGUACCGCCGCCGCCAGUGGUGGCUGUAAAACCAACCUCGUCUUGAUUCUCUUCUCAAUUGGUAAAUUUACUUGAACUCUUUUGUCAAUUAUACUUGAUUAAAAACCCCCAAAUUGAAGAAACCCUAACUCACUCUUCUUUGAUUUUCUCUCUCACCUCCGACGUGAGGUCGUUUCGCCGUCCUGGUGGGCUAUCCGCCAUUGUUGGUGGUGUCGGGUAGUAGCCCUCGAUGUUGGUGUCGCUUUCUCCCCUCCUUGCCACAGUUUUUGCUGUUGUUGCUGUUGAUUCGAUUCGAUUGUUGUUGAUGAUUGCUGCUCCAGUUUUUGUUACUUCCCUGCUUCAAUUACUCUGAAGGGUCGUUGAAUUAUGGAUUUUAGCGGAGGUUGAUGAUCGAAAUAUAUAAUUCUUGGAGUUUAAAUCGAAGAGUUAAAAUGUUUUGCAGGCAGCGAGAAUCGAGUCUCAGUUAAGGUUCAAGGUGCGUAGAGUACUCCAGAGGCCUUAUAUGUUUCAAGGCGGGAUUUUGGAUUCUCCAAGUGUAUUUAAGUCUUUCCUAAUUUGUUAAUGGGUUGUAUUAUUUCUUUCUAAAGCUUUUUGGUUAUUAUUUAUGGACUAUAUAUCCUUGUUAAGUUCGGUGUCGCCCUAAUGGUGAUUUGGGAAAUGUUAUAUCUUGGAUCGAAGUGAUAGCAGGUGAAAGAAAUCUGACGUAAUUUCCUAAACAAUAUUUUUUUUAGGUUGUCCAUAUUUAGGGGAAGUGCUACCGAAAUUUCUAAUAAUUAACUAAGUUU